GGGAGGGGGCCCGCGGGGCCCCGGGCGGGAGGGCAGGGCCAGCCCCGCGCACAAAGGAGCCCUGGCGGCGGCCCCUUGGAGGACAAUACAGCCCUGGGGCGCCGGGGGCUGCGCCGCGCUCCAGCUGCCUCUUCACAACGAGGCCUGCAAACGUGCCCACUUGAUUCUAAAUCCUCUUAGGCGCUCGCGGUGUGAACCGGGAAGGGGGUGGCCCUCCAAGCCUUUGCAAUCCCAGGCCUGGAGCCUGGCGCUCGGCGAGCGGUUUGCACCACGCAUGCAAAUCGAGUUGGCGUCUUAGAGACGUGGGCAGACUCUGUUGGGUUACCAGCAAACGCCCCGAUACGGCCCUAUAGUGCCACGCGGGAUCCCGAAAAAUUUGCAGGGUGUUUCCCCUGGAAAGACUUCCUGUUAAGUGUUCAGAAAAGCCAGCUGAGCUGCGCGUCAUUAGUCACCCAGAAUUCCCUGUAGGACUCCCGGGAUGUGAAGAACUACUCCCUGAUAGGAUCCCUCUGGAAUUCCUUACAUCAGAAGACAGCAUCUUUCCUUGACAAUCUGAUUUUUUUGGUUUGUUUUCUAUCCAUAAAACUGGAUCCGCCUCUACUUAUGGAACCAUGGAGAAUUGAUCAAAUUUCUAUUUUACAUGAUAUUACCCUUCAGAUGUUUGGAGACAGUCCCCACACCCUCACCCCCAGUCUUCUUCCAGCUAAACACCUGCAGAUCCUUCACGAGUCUGUCCCAUGGGUCUGAUUCCUGCACCAUCCGAGUUAUGCAGAGAUGCUUCAGUUCACCUGAGUUCCUCUGAAACUGAAGAUGGUGUUUCAAUCAUGCAGAAAUUCAACCUAGGAGGCAGCACUGGAGAAAUAUGGCUUAAAACCAACAGGGAAAAACAGUCCAACCAUGGCCAAGUUAUUCAGACAAAAAUAAAUUCUGGUUUUCCAUUUUAGUCUUUUUCUACGCUGAGGCUAGUCAUGCCCAGCUCAGUUAUGAAGCCCAGGAAAGAAGGAAAAAGCUGUAUGGCAGACUAGCACUGAGCCUUUCAUAUUCUUGCAUUUUAUCCUCAAAAAACCCUCUAAGUGGGUACUAUUGUUAUUCCUCUUUUACUGGCUCCAAGGUCAAAGAAUCCACGCAAGGUCACACUGCUAGCAGGGGGCAGAGUGAGGUCUCUAGCCUGUGAACUGCACUUCCAUCGCUCGAAGCUGCUGCCUGGGGUCCAUCCUGAAAACCGAGGUCCUGGAUUGGAUGUGUUUUUCUGCGUGUUCUAUGACAUGCAGCUUCAAUUCAAGGCCAGUUCGCAUACAUCCUAUUUAUACAGCUACAAAAACUUUUGAAAUGCAAGUUAAGAACUUUUUGGGAGAAGAGUUCUUUUUGGAAGCAAAUGAAACAGAAAUUCCAAGUGAGAGCCAAAAGUCAUCCCAAACAUGGUUUUAUUCCAAUGGCAUUACUUAACGGUAAAGUGUUAUAUUACCCUUGAAUUUCCUGCCUGGGCUCAGGGUAGGCCAGGCCCUGGAUGCUUUUUUGCGUUUAUCAUAGCAAAGCUGUCGCCCCUUACUCACGCUGGCUCUCCAACGUGUCCGUUAUUCAAGAAAAAAGGAAAGAAUGUUUCCCAUACGCGCU
ensembl:lncRNA